rnacentral:rRNA from 1 species
AACGAACGCUGGCGGCAGGCCUAACACAUGCAAGUCGAACGCUCGUAGCAAUACGAGAGUGGCAGACGGGUGAGUAACACGUGGGAACCUUCCCUAUGGUUCGGAAUAGCCCAGGGAAACUUGGGGUAAUACCGGAUAAGCCCUUACGGGGAAAGAUUUAUCGCCAUUGGAUGGGCCCGCGUCGGAUUAGCUAGUUGGUGGGGUAACGGCCUACCAAGGCGACGAUCCGUAGCUGGCCUGAGAGGAUGAUCAGCCACACUGGGACUGAGACACGGCCCAGACUCCUACGGGAGGCAGCAGUGGGGAAUAUUGGACAAUGGGCGCAAGCCUGCUCCAGCCAUGCCGCGUGAGUGACGAAGGCCUUAGGGUUGUAAAGCUCUUUUGGCGGGGAAGAUAAUGACGGUACCCGCAGAGUAAGCUCCGGCUAACUUCGUGCCAGCAGCCGCCGUAACAC